UACGUAGGGUGCGAGCGUUAAUCGGAAUUACUGGGCGUAAAGCGUGCGCAGGCGGUUGAUUAAGUCCGAUGUGAAAGCCCCGGGCUCAACCUGGGAAUGGCAUUGGAGACUGGUCAGCUGGAGUGUGGCAGAGGGGGGUGGAAUUCCGCGUGUAGCAGUGAAAUGCGUAGAGAUGCGGAGGAACACCGAUGGCGAAGGCAGCCCCCUGGGCCAACACUGACGCUCAGGCACGAAAGCGUGGGGAGCAAACAGG
rnacentral:rRNA from 1 species